UGCGUAGGCGGCUUUUUAAGUCGGAUGUGAAAUCCCCGAGCUUAACUUGGGAAUUGCAUUCGAUACUGGGAAGCUAGAGUAUGGGAGAGGAUGGUAGAAUUCCAGGUGUAGCGGUGAAAUGCGUAGAGAUCUGGAGGAAUGCCGAUGGCGAAGGCAGCCAUCUGGCCUGCACUGACGCUCAUGCACGAAAGCGUGGGGAGCAAACAGGAUUAGAUACCCGAGUA
rnacentral:rRNA from 1 species